ensembl:lncRNA
UCUCAACCUGACAUGUUACAAACAUGGUAAAUGAGUACUUUAAUUUUCACAAUAUAUCACAAUUUGUGCACUUUAUGUAUUUUUAUGGUGGCUUAUGUAUGUAAAAAAAAAAAAAAAAAAUUAACAGUCUUAAUCAAAUUUGAAUGAUUUUGGAUCCAAUUUUGCAUAUUUUUCAGAUUAACAAGUAAUAGUUUUCCAGACUUUUACCUGAGCUUCUCUAGUUUACAGUGUGGACUUUGCAGUCAAACACAGAGCUGCCUCACUCAUGAGUCUUGUAGAUCAUUAAUGCUCAGAUCCAGAUCAUUUCACACUGUAAGUCUUUGAGUUGAGAGCUGAAGCAAGAGCAGUGCGGCUUUUCUCAGUGAUUCCACAUUUGUCCAACCUGACACAGAAAUCUAUUAUAAUAUACACUGUUCCGACUUCAUCAAAUAUGCGAUGUUCACAAGUUUCUAUAUAUGAACCUGUGUUUUCAGUCUGCAGUUUGGAUGAUGAAGAACUGCAGACAGCAGCUCUGCUCCCUGAUCUUCGCACUCUCACAGAGCGUCAAAGGUUUCUAUUUGGCAGUCUAGCCAAUCAAAGGCAUUUACUUAUUUCAUACUGCCUUGAAAUACUGCAUUUGGGACUCAUACACCUGUACAGUGAGUAUAUUGAACUGUAUUUAUCAGAUGCUCACAUUCAUCAGCCUUCUGACAGAAGCAUGAGAUCAUCUCAAUUUUCUCAGAUAUACCCAGCAUGUUCAUGCAAAUAAGCUUCUAGUAAAGGUGUGUCAUGAAUAUGCAGAUGCAUUUCCGGAAAGAGUAAUUCAUUAUUUUUAUUUCUUUGCUGGUAGCGGUGUGUAGGUCUAUAAAUCACUUGAAUCAUAUGCAUACCUCAAAAAAAAAAAAAAAAAAGUAUCCAAAAUGGACUAGUUGUUCAGAUUAUAUUUGCCCAACAAAUAUUUUUUUACUAGAUUUUGUAGAUUUUUUACAGCAACUAUUAUUAAUAAAAAUGUAAUAUUUAUUUUAUUAAUUAUAGCA